CUUUCAGUGUUUCCUCCUCUUCUCUCAACCCUCAACCUUCAUCCCUCUCAAACUUCUUCUUCCUCCCUUCUCUCAAAUUACCUCAAAUUCAUGUCAAACUUCUAUUGAAAUUCUUCAUUAUAAACUGUUUAAGGAAUAAUAUUUGUGUUUGAAUGAGCAUUUGAAGAAGAUAGAGGAAGAUUUUCUGGAUUAAUAAGAACUUUAAGAGCGGUCAAUGAUGGGAGGCAAUGGACAAAUAGGUUUGAACUUCGCCGAAACCCAAUGACUAUUGCAUUUCCGUGAACGAACCUCUGAUGGUAGGUUAGUAUGUAAAUCUUACCUUAUACACUAGCGUUGCACUCGUCAGGUUAUUUGAAUCUCUAUCUUUCAAAGAGGUCAUUUUUACCUUGGCGGCAUCUGUUAUUUUGUCAUAUCAUUCACAAACAAUCUAUCUCUGGGUUUCAGGUGUUCUGAUAUUUCAUGACCAACUAAAUCCUUAGCUAGAACAUGAUUGUGAAUACCACAUCUAAUUGUUACCUUCCAACCAAUACUGCUUGAUACAAAUCUCAACAUAAAUGGACAUUUUACUCUUAUAAUACAAGUGACUUUAGAGGAAUUAUGGUUCUUAUAGUUUCCUCCCAUCUUAUAAUCCAAAAUAAAUUUUUCCCUCCUGCCUCUUUGUCUAUUUGGUGUAUCAAAACAUACAAUAACAAUGAUAAUACCAUGUUGUCUUCUAAUAGAAAGUGCCCAUAAUAACACUUAGAUCGAGAGAGAGAGAGAGAGAGAAAUGUCAGUCAAUUAAAACAUAUAAUGAAUGAAUCAAUCCUAGAUUCUAUAACUCAAUUAAAAAAUUUUAAAAGUUAAAUAAAACAAGUAAGUAAAACAUUCAAAGCCAGUGGUGAAGAAUAGGGUAAAAAUGAAAAUUUUUAAAAUACACCAAAUAUAAAAAAAAUGCAAAAUUUUCUUUUGGGUUAGUAAAAAGUCUAUCGUACUUUUAAAAUACCACUAUCAAAAAAAAAUUUAUUUUUUAUUGGUUCUUUAAGAGUGAAUUUUUUUUUUAAAAUGUGAUAAGGUAAAUAAUACCAAGGUUAAUUUUAUCAUAAUUGAAAAUUAUUGGGGUGUCUCGUAACAUCCUCCUUAAAUUCAUACUCGCGUAGGCUCUAACAUCUGUAUCCAUCGUUAGACUUGUGUUUAAAAAUAUAUAUAUAUCUAAGCACAUACUCUUGUAAGCACCAAAUUUUAUGCUCAUAAGAUUAUGCUUAAAUAUAUUGAAAAAUAUUUCUAGAGGAAAUCGAUAAAAUUCAUCAUUUUAAACAUUGUUAGUGAAUUAACUGGGUGGUGGAUUGACAUUUGUGGCUUUCGUAAUGUUUACAAUGAUCUUGUUAUGUUUAAAACUUACAAAGUUGUGAAAUUUAAGAAUGUGUUGUUGAGAAAUUGUCACACCACAAAAAUGGUUAUAGGUGGAGAUAUGAAAUUGCAAUUCACUUCUCUUCAAGUGGGCCUACUUUCGAGACAAGUCGUCUGGAAGAUAAUCAUAAGACUUAGCCUCAACAAAGAAGUAUCUCCGACACCAUAAUUUUGGGAAACUAUCCUUACAUUUAAGAGGCACCCCAGGUUAAAUGUAACACAUACUUACAUGGGGCACCUCAGUGAAGAGAGUGACCAAGUAGUACCAGUCUUUAAAAUUCUUCACGCUGUCAGAGUAAACCUCAAACAUCUUCUGACCCUACCUAAGGGAUAGCAAGCCUUGAUCCCGUGUUGAUUCAGCCGGGCAACGUUGAACUUUAAAAAGGUGGAAAAUGAGUUUUAAUAUUGACACACUUUUCUUGUAUUCACACCAAUACUAGAAGACUUUGACAUAAUCCCAAUUCACCGAAUGUAGUUGUAAGGAAAAGAACACCAAAUGAUUCAGAAUUCCUAUUUCAAAGUUGUUGAAAGGAAGGCAAAAACAUAUCAAAGAAAACAAUCAUUCAUGAAGAGGGAUAACACACCACUCAUAUUUGAUGCACACACUUUUAUCUUCUUCAAAGGAAAGUACCCUUUAGCCCGAAGGGGGACCCACCUCGAUGAAAAUAUGGUCCAAACUACCCUUACCAACAAAGAAGGAUAUGAAUACUAGAAUUUCGGGAACUUAUCCUUACAUUUUAGAGGCACCACGAGUUAAAUGUAACUCAUACUGGCAUGGGCCACCUCAGUGAGAGGAGUGACCAAGUAGUACCAUUCUUUAAAAUUCUUCACAUUGUUGGAGUAAACCUCAAACAUCUUCUGACCCAGCCUAAGGGAGAGCAAGCCUUGACCCCAUGUUGAGUCAUUCGAGCGACGUUGAACGUUCAAAAAGUGGAAAGGGAGUGUUAAGGUUGACACACUUUUCUUGUACUCACACCAAUACUGAAUGACUUUGACAAAAUCCCAACUCGCCAAAUGUCGUUGUAAGGAAGAGAUCUCCAGAUAAUUCAGAAUGCCUACUUCAAAGUUGUUGAAAGGAAUGUGAAAACAUAUCAAAGAAAAUAAAUAUUAAUGGAGAGGGAUGACAUACCCCUCAUAUUUGAUGCACACCUUUUUAUCUCCUUCAAGGGAAAGUACCCCUUAGUCCGAAAGGAGACCCACCAGGUGAAAAUAUGGUCUAAACUACCCUUACCAACAAAGAUGAAUACAACAUCUAAUAUUUCUUAAUCCAUUCACAUUACCGAGAUGUCUCUCAUCACAUUAUGUGUUCCUUGGCCAUAGUUGUCCAUCUCGGAAUUACUGCUAACACAUACAAAAAAUAACGGACAUGAGCAUAAGUAUGAGAUUGAGAUUCUAACCACCACCUCACCUCGCCAUCUGUAGGGUUGUAGCUAAAAGCAUGAUGAUGUGUUUUGAUAUAGGUAUGAGCCUUUCACUCCAGUUUAAAAUCAUCUAUAAUAAUGGGGUUCAUCAAGGGUAACAAAUGAAAAGCAAACCUCUAGUAACCUCUCUAAGAGCGAGACUAUCAGCUACCAUUCCAUAAUCGACCGCAGCCACUUCCUUCAAAUCCUCUAUCACCACAUUCUCAAGAAACCCUAACAAAGGAAAGAUAAGUACAUAAGAUAAAGGGACUUCGAAUCAUUACCUUGGAAGAAAGAAAUUUGAUUAUUUGCGUUGAAAAAAGUUCAUCAGAGAAGAUUAAGUAAAGACGUUAGAGUAAAUGAUGAUGGAUGACCGUUGACAAAGAGAAGGGGCAACUACAAAGAUCAGAGAAAAACUUUUGGAGUUUUAGAAAUGGAUAAAAUAUGUACAUUUACCCAUGAACCAUUAUUAUAUAUUAUUCAAGCAACCAUUCGAUCCUUGACAACUUGCAUGGGAAAAUGUGACCACAUGACCGACAGUCGUGAUCUCGCAUCCACAUCCUGAAAACGCUUGAGUACCUUAAGAUAAGAGGCAUCAUUACCAGAAAUCAUAGAGCCACAUGUUGCAACCUUCUAGUGAGGUGUUAUGAUUUACAAGGAAGACAUUCAAUUCACAUGAUUCUAAUGUUAUCGACAUCAUAGCUAUCUCACACCUUUCGACCAAGUGCUGCACUAGAAGCCCACAUGACAAAACUCCUUAGAAUACUCGAGUACCCUUAGAUAAAACAAAGGCAACAUUAUUUCCACUCCAACGGCUGGACGAGAGGGAUUAUCUAUUUUCUUCCAAACGAAAGUAUGUUGGGUCACUCUACCAUAACUUAAUUUGUCUAUGUUAUCAUACAUUUUACUUGUAAUUACACCAGAAAAUCAUAUCAUAAUCAGCGAACCAAAGUCAUGGGACAUAACAAGAAAAAUCAGAAAAAUAAUACAGAACAACUAAAUUUAGAAGUUAACUUUUGCAAUAUAGAAUAACAAAAUAGGGAAAUUAACUUUCGUGUCCUCCCGAAACCAGAACACGAAGAAAUAGAGCAUGCCCAAUUGCUCUUAGUUUAAAAAAAUCUACAUUCAUACUUCAUUAAACAACAUAUUAUAUGUUCAAAUAUAACAAAAUCAACCUCUUAUGCGUUUAACUUCAAACUAAUGCAUCAAAAACAAAAAGCAAAAAAAAAAGAAAAUGAAAAACUUACCAAAUGCGAGAAUUCGAAGAUUUUCGAUUGAAUGGAGUGAAGUAUAUGUUGAUUGAUGUCCUAAGCUUGAAUGUGAUGCAAUAGAAGUAGCGAUAAAGCUUAAAAAAUAAUGGAAGAAAUCGAUGGUUCCAUUUAUUUCUCUGAUGAUUUCUAUAUCCAUGAUGUCCUAUAUAUACCAACUUUCUUUGCAAAUUUAAUACCAUUAUCUCGUUUAUAUGCUUCUUUAGAUUGUACUUUAAUUUUUACUUCUACUCGUUAUCUCAUACAAUGGACUCAUACCUUGAUGAAGAUUGGUGCAGCUAGAAUUCAUCAAGGAUUAUACUCUCUGAUUUUACCAUCUUUACAUAAUCCUAUCAUCCCCAAUAAUGUUCCACAUCCCAAUAACCACCUUAUACACAAUUGUUUCCUGUGACAUAAUAGAUUAGGCCAUCCUUCUA